UACGAAGGGGCUAGCGUUGUUCGGAAUUACUGGGCGUAAAGGGCGCGUAGGCGGUACUUCAAGUCAGGCGUGAAAGCCCCGGGCUCAACCUGGGAACCGCGCUUGAGACUGGAGAACUAGAGUUCGGGAGAGGAUGGUGGAAUUCCCAGUGAUAGAGGUGAAAUUCGUAGAUAUUGGGAAGAACACCGAUGGCGAAGGCAGCCAUCUGGACCGACACUGACGCUGAGGAGCGAAAGCGUUGGGGAGC
rnacentral:rRNA from 1 species